rnacentral:rRNA from 1 species
CCUACGGGUGGCAGCAGUGGGGAAUAUUGCACAAUGGGCGCAAGCCUGAUGCAGCCAUGCCGCGUGUGUGAAGAAGGCCUUCGGGUUGUAAAGCACUUUCAGCGGGGAGGAAGGCGGUGAGGUUAAUAACCUCAUCGAUUGACGUUACCCGCAGAAGAAGCACCGGCUAACUCCGUGCCAGCAGCCGCGGUAAUACGGAGGGUGCAAGCGUUAAUCGGAAUUACUGGGCGUAAAGCGCACGCAGGCGGUCUGUCAAGUCGGAUGUGAAAUCCCCGGGCUCAACCUGGGAACUGCAUUCGAAACUGGCAGGCUAGAGUCUUGUAGAGGGGGGUAGAAUUCCAGGUGUAGCGGUGAAAUGUGUAGAGACCUGGAGGAAUACCGGUGGCGAAGGCGGCCCCCUGGACAAAGACUGACGCUCAGGUGCGAAAGCGUGGGGAGCAAACAGGAUUAGAUACCCGUGUAGUC